GACGAACGCUGGCGGCGUGCUUAACACAUGCAAGUCGAACGGAGAUAUGAUUUCGGUUGUAUCUUAGUGGCGAACGGGUGAGUAACGCGUGAGCAACCUGACUCUUAGAGGGGGAUAACACUCGGAAACGGGUGCUAAUACCGCAUAAGACCACGACAUGGCAUCAUGACGAGGUCAAGGGAGGAAUCCGCUGAGAGAGGGGCUCGCGUCCCAUUAGAUAGAUGGCGGGGUAACGGCCCACCAUGUCAACGAUGGGUAGCCGAGCUGAGAGGCUGAUCGGCCACACUGGAACUGAGACACGGUCCAGAUUCCUACGGGAGGCAGCAGUGGGGAAUAUUGGGCAAUGGGCGCAAGCCUGACCCAGCAACGCCGCGUGAGGGAAGAAGGCUUUCGGGUUGUAAACCUCUGUCCUUGGUGACGAAACAAAUGACGGUAGCCAAGGAGGAAGCCCCGGCUAACUACGUGCCAGCCGCCGCUGUAACAC
rnacentral:rRNA from 1 species